AAAAAAAAAAAAAGAAAAAAGGGAAGAAGAAUAAGAACAAGACAGCAAACUGAUCUAAAAUCGAUCAAGUUCCUUUCAUGCAGCAAUGUUGCGUACGGAGGAGAGAAUGUCUUUAUUCCAAAGGCAUGAAUAUAAGAUCGAAGAGAAGAAUGUACUGUUGUGGCAAAAGAACGGCCAGAGCUUGGAAGCUAUUCCGGUAGCCAAAACGUACAGUGGAGACAACACUGACCUAUAAGCAGCUUUUUUGAGUAAAAAAGAAAUUUCAUGUAUCCUAGGUUUUUUUUUUUUUUUUCAAAUGGGACAUUAUUUGAGAACAGUAGUUGUAAACUUGUGAUACUGGCAUUACAUUCCGAUUAAUUCUGCUGUCUCUAAUCUAACGCGAGUAACUACUAACUUGUACUAUUUUUUUAUUUUUAGGCUUUCAAUGCAAACCUUUUUUAUUUUAUUUUUCUUUAUAACCUGAACCCAGGAGCAAGUGGUUCAACAUAUAUAUCUGCAAUUUAAAAAUAUAGAGAAGAGGGAACCACUACAGAAAUAGCGAAAAGAGCACAGCGGCCACAAUACAAGCCACUCACUAGCAGCAGCAGGUCUCUCUCUCUCUCUCUCUCGCAGGUUCUCUCUCUCUCUCUCUCCUGAUAAUCUACUCA
rnacentral:lncRNA from 1 species